rnacentral:rRNA from 1 species
UGGGGAAUUUUGGACAAUGGGGGAAACCCUGAUCCAGCCAUCCCGCGUGUGCGAUGAAGGCCUUCGGGUUGUAAAGCACUUUUGGCAGGAAAGAAACGUCAUGGGUUAAUACCCCGUGAAACUGACGGUACCUGCAGAAUAAGCACCGGCUAACUACGUGCCAGCAGCCGCGGUAAUACGGAGGGUGCAAGCGUUAAUCGGAAUUACUGGGCGUAAAGCGUGCGCAGGCGGUUCGGAAAGAAAGAUGUGAAAUCCCAGAGCUAAACUUUGGAACUGCAUUUUUAACUACCGGGCUAGAGUGUGUCAGAGGGAGGUGGAAUUCCGCGUGUAGCAGUGAAAUGCGUAGAUAUGCGGAGGAACACCGAUGGCGAAGGCAGCCUCCUGGGAUAACACUGACGCUCAUGCACGAAAGCGUGGGGAGCAAACAGG